AUACGUAGGGGGCGAGCGUUGUCCGGAAUGAUUGGGCGUAAAGGGCGCGUAGGCGGCGCGGUAAGUCUGGAGUGAAAGUCGUGCUUUCAAGGUGGGAAUUGCUUUGGAUACUGCCGCGCUUGAGUGCAGGAGAGGUUAUCGGAAUUCCCGGUGUAGCGGUGAAAUGCGUAGAGAUCGGGAGGAACACCAGUGGCGAAGGCGGGUAACUGGACUGCAACUGACGCUGAGGCGCGAAAGUGUGGGGAGCAAACAGGAUUAGAUACCCUGGUAGUCCACGCCGUAAACGAUGAGUGCUAAGUGUUGGAGGGUUUCCGCCCUUCAGUGCUGCAGCUAACGCAUUAAGCACUCCGCCUGGGGAGUACGGCCGCAAGGCUGAAACUCAAAUGAAUUGACGGGG
rnacentral:rRNA from 1 species